rnacentral:misc_RNA from 1 species
CAGAGUUGCAAAACUCCCUAAACCAUCGUGAACCCACCCCUAAACAGUUGCUUCGGCGGCGCCCAGGGCCCCGCGCCCCAGGCCCGCCGGAGACCCCCAAACUCUUGUUUUUACACUGGCCUCUCUGAGUACUGUACUUUAAUAAGUCA